GCUUUCUGGAAGUAGAAAGAAAGCAAAGAAGCGUUAGAAAUUUGAGCUGAAAAAUAAUUUAUUGUAGUUACGCUAAGCAGCUACAUUUGUGAACAAAACAGCUUUGUAUUUACUGCCCGUGAUAGACUUUGGCAGAUAAGACUUUGGCUACCAAAGCAAGGACAUAACGGAUCCAGAUGUGAACUUCAGAGAAGCCUUUCAUCUUUAUACCCGGCUUUCCUGGCUAUGAGGAUAGCUCAUGCUUCUUUCAUUAGCUGAUGUGUUUCUUGUAUUGUUUACGCUGACAGAGCAGUGCAGUCCUGGAUUUUCUAUGCUAAAAAGCCAUUUCUUCCAUGGGUGAUAAGCGAAGCAGCGAAGUAUCAGCUAUUUACAGGCAAGAAACCAAAGUUUGCACAUUUCUGAACUGGUGUGACCUGGUGUGGCAGAGCGGCUAUUAAGCUCCAGUUAUCCCACCACGUUAAUUACAGCCAUCUUAAUGAUUUGUUAGUUCCGUGUAAUCAGCUAGGAACUCUGCUACACAGAGGGCAAAUCCGCCAGCAUUACUCUGCUUUGCUCAGCUACGUCCUGGGGUUUACCCAGUAGUGCUCAUCUUCCUGCUGAUUCCCCCCAGCAAUCAGAGGAUUGCUUAAGUGUAACGAGACCAAAGGUCACAAGAUAGUGCUCCAUUGGUUUGCUUUUUUUCUAAUCUCAGCAAUUCUGCAGGCUCUGAACCUCAUCUUCCAAUAUUUACUCCUCUGCCCAUGGUAUGUGUGUCUGUAGUUCCCCUGAACCCCGCAGAUCUACUCAGAUUGAUUCCUAAUAGACUGAGGGGCCACACGUCCCAAAUCUGUGUUUCUUUUGCAAUAUCUCUGGAAAUUUUCACAGAUCUCUGCCCAGAUUGGGCAAAGGGUCACACAGAAAUCUGUUGAGUUGCUUUAGUCUACAAGAAACAAACUCAUCUGCCAGGAAAAUCCCCCAGGAAGGCUUUGCCCAGGCCAGCUGCAGGACACCACAGCGCUCAGCAAAACGCUGAGACCAACCUGUUGAUACCAACUGGGAGAAACUGCAAGGAUCAGCUUUGACUUUUGCUCUGCCAUCACAAACGUCUCUGGCAGUUUAGCAUGCAGGGGAAAACAGCAAGGGAAUGGUUAUCGAUGUGCUGGGGCAAUCACACCCAGCAUUACUAGCAGAGACCAAAUAGUGUCUGCUGCCCAGCUGGCACGCUCAACCCGAAAUUACCCUUUGGCACACACCGAUGCAGGUGACUGUGAGAAAAAGUGGCCCACCAGGACCAAGCAGCUGUGGUCAGCAUCACACCAGCAACUCAAAACUCUUCCAGGUGCAAUACAAGACAACGACGCAGGUGGACACCAUCAUGGGAUGAAGCUGCAGGAACUAUGCCUGCCGUGCUGCUGCAGGUACUGAGCUGCCUCCCUUAUCUGAGAGCUAAAUGAAAACAGAUGAACUGAAAGCAAGAGUGCCUUCGCAGCGUGCACGUUAGCAGUUAUGGCAACAGGGCUCCAUGAGUCACUUCAUGUGGUUUUCUGUGACAGCAUCCUCCCGCUUCUAGAAGCUCAGAGAACUCAGCUCAGAGAACUAAUGGCACAAAACACCAGUGAGGCAUUUCUGAAAUGUGAAAGCACGUCACACAGAUGGCAAGGGGAGAUCACACAGGGUACAGAGACCUUUGAUGUCUUCUGAAACCAGAGGCAGGAGAAAUGCCUGCUGGUACACGUGUCCUGAGGUAAGUAACUGGACUUGUUGCUUACUUUGCUUUGGCCAAGACCCUGAGAAAUGCCACUGGAUUUUUCAUUGGAUGAAAUGACAUUUCCAGCACAGCCUGACUGAGCUGAGCGGUCAUGGACAGAAGAAGUUAAGGAAGGAAGAUGAACAAUGUGAAACAUCAAUGAUUUAGCUUUUACACUGAUGUGUUUGUAAGAUUUUGCUCAGAAGGCUACUGUUCUACCUGAAGGAUGGUGGCAUGUAACAGACUGGAAAUGCUGAGGACCUCCCAGUCCUCACAAUCUGUCACAGUAAAUGGCUACAGGAAUGCAUUGCUGCUGUGCAAACUCUUGCUAUGCAAGUAGAGAUCACAAAACUGAGUGUGAAAUAGCACCCAAAUCUGCAGUGAAAAAACAGAGUUUUCCCUGGAAGUUUAUAGGCACUUGCUGCUGUGAUGCUGUGCCACCUCACAGGCACAGACAUCAGUGAGAAUACACCCUGAAAACUUACAGUGUAGAAGGCUGCUCAGAAAUAUUGACUUGAGCUUUGAUCUUCAAAUCUUUCUGAAUUUGUUGGUCACAGGCCUGCUUGAAAUUGCCCAUGUAUAACUUUGCAGGCAGUAUUUCUACAGGGUACAGCUGGAAGUUGUCUAGUUCCUGCAAGGAGAGAAGCCGUGGGUUCAGUUCAGAGCAUAUUUGCUCUUUUAGCUCCUUAAACAGAAGUCACGUAGAGAAAUGAACACACACUUAGUCAGCAGCCCAUGACACAUUUGAAUGUAAUGAUGCAUUCAAUCACCCGGACAUUCUGAAAUAUGGAAGUCUUGCUAGAUUUAGUGAGAAUAAUUAACAAAAACACUGUCAUUGUGGCAUUACUUGAAACAAAUCCUAACUAAACAGGUGGAAGAAUAUAUUCUUUGCAAUGUCUGGAGGAACCACAGCAUAACGGAUUCAUUUGAUGUUUUCUCCGGUUAUCGUUCACAAGGCCAACUGAAGUCAUCUGCCACCUGCAGAGCUGCAGGUGCAACGUCGUGGCACAGCACAAGUCCACAGAGAUUUUGUCUCUGUGCUGCCGAAAGGCUGAGAACAAAAAUAUACAAGUAGGCAGCAGUGCUUCUACAUCCAUAACUGAUACUCCGUAAUGCUGCAUCGGAACAAAACUGCAGCUCAACAGCUUAGAGCAUCAGAGAGCAACAGCUUAAACUGAGCUGAGGAGGUAAUUCUGUGUCCAGCUGAAUCUGCUGGGGGAGUUUAGCAGUUUGCUGCCCCUCACAAAGGAGCACAGUGAAUUCAUUUUCUGUGCUGUAGCAUCCCGCAAGGUUGGCACUGUGUCGUGGGCUGCUUCGUGUGAAGCAGAUGUGAAGUAGUAGGAAUUGGACACAAAGGAUGUUGCUGUACAGUGCCCUCUAAAUCUGCCCUGCUGCAGGUCCUGUCCUAGAUGUGAAAAUAGGACAAUUGUUUCUCCCAAGUUAAAUAGAUCAAUGUUUGCAGGUGAAACCAAACAAUCAAGGUACCAGUGUACCAGUGGAUGGCUCCUUUCUUUCUGGGCCUAUUGAAGCAAUGCUCCAACAUUUGCUUUGUGACCCUUCCAGACAAAAAGCUUUAUAGGCAUGAAAUACAGGGCUUGAUAGUUGCACCUCUGUCUGGAAACAUUUACUGUGUAACAUCUCAGAUAACCUCAUAUAAAAGAGAUUAAAGAGGAGCCUGCCUUA